GUCAGGUCAUGACACGAGUAUUAGUUAUCACGACCUGGUGAAGUGUACGGUGUUAGACACAUGUUGAGUGGGUGAGACACAUAUCAAGAGGAUGGGACACAUGGCAAAUCGUCGAGCCGUGCAACAUUUAUCACGACAGGAUAGCCUAUUGGUCACGACUCGAUUCUCAAAAUUAUUGGAGUAUAUAAACAGGUUUGUGUUGUUCAUUUAAAGAGUUUUGGAACUGAAAUCAGAGAGAGAACUAAAGAGAGAUGGUUCUCGGGAAAGUGAUUGGUGAGUCGGUGCUAGAAUAUGAGGGUACGAACCAUCGAUCGGGUUGAGAUAUCUUCUUGUUAUGUUAUUACGUUGUCGUGUUUUAUAGCAUAAUUAUAAUGAAUUAUUAGAACCCAAUCUAGUUUUUAGAAGUCAUAAUAUGGUGUAAUUAUGAACUUCAUUGUAAACCUAACAUGUGAAUUAUAUGGAUUGGUUGAUAUA